UGAAACUUUUUUUAAUCUUUAAUUGGAAGUGAAUGCCUAACUUUAGUUAAUUGUGCCUAACCACUGUGCGUAAUGUGGCGUCACCCUCCCGACGUCACAAAUACAAAGGGAACGCAGUUGAUUCGUCGAGUCGAUCCGUUAUUUGUCUACAUUAUGCCGCAUCACACUAGUUCAUAUGAACUUUUAUAACAGCAAACCAGGAGUUUAGUUACGUGUAGCUACUUGAAAGGCAGAGGAUUAUUAUAACUCCAUCAAUUCAGUUUUAACGCAGGCCUACGGUUUAUAACAAGUUGAUGUGGCGCAGAUCAGAUCCUGUUUCAUAAUGGACGACACACAAAUAUCCAGAGACCAACAUUUUCUCCAGGAUGCAGUUCUGUUCAUCAGAAGAGAUCAGAUCCAGAGUCCAGCUGUGUGUCUAUGAGGAGUGACCAGGGAUCAUCCAAUUUAUAUUAAGAAUUAAUUCAUCAGAAGAGACCAGAUCCAGAGUCCAGCUGUGUGUCUAUGAGGAGUGACCGAUGGAUCAACCAAUUCAUUUUAAGAGUGGAGACACAAAGUCUGAUCUCAG